rnacentral:tRNA from 1 species
UAGCUCAAUGGUAGAGCAGUUGCCUAGCAUGCAUGAGGCCCUAGGUUUAAUCCCUAG